CAGUUGAGUAGCAAUACUUGACCUAGAGUGGCGUAAGGGUGCGUAACACGUAUGCAAUCUGCCCACAGCCGGGAGAUAGCCCUCCGAAAGGAGGAUUAAUAUCCCAUAGGAAGAUGAAAUGGCAUCAUUUUAUUUUUAAGCUACGGGGCUGUGGAUGAGCAUGCGUUUGAUUAGCUAGUUGGCGGGGUAAAGGCCCACCAAGGCGAUGAUCAAUAGGGGACCUGAGAGGGUGAUCCCCCACACUGGCACUGAGAUACGGGCCGGACUCCUACGGGAGGCAGCAGUAGGGAAUAUUGGACAAUGGGUGUAAGCCUGAUCCAGCCAUGCCGCGUGCAGGAAGAAGGCCUUCUGGGUUGUAAACUGCUUUUGCCGGGGGAUAAAAGAUCCAUGCGUGGAGAAUUGAAGGUACCCGGUGAAUAAGCCACAGCUAACUACGUGCCAGCAGCCGCGGUAAUACGUAGGUGGCAAGCGUUGUCCGGAUUUAUUGGGUUUAAAGGGUGCGUAGGCGGUCCUGUAAGUCAGUGGUGAAAUACGGCAGCUCAACUGUCGAGGUGCCAUUGAUACUGCUGGACUUGAGUACAGACGAGGUAGGCGGAAUUGACGGUGUAGCGGUGAAAUGCUUAGAUAUCGUCAAGAACACCGAUAGCGAAGGCAGCUUACUAGACUGUAACUGACGCUGA
rnacentral:rRNA from 1 species